AGGACUUUAAGUUAAUAUAAACUUGUAGCCUUCAAAGUUAUAUAUACUAAGAUUAAUACAAUAGUAAGUCUUA
rnacentral:tRNA from 1 species